rnacentral:rRNA from 5 species
UUAAAUUGAAGAGUUUGAUCAUGGCUCAGAUUGAACGCUGGCGGCAGGCCUAACACAUGCAAGUCGAACGGUAACAGGAAUCAGCUUGCUGAUUCGCUGACGAGUGGCGGACGGGUGAGUAAUGUCUGGGAAACUGCCUGAUGGAGGGGGAUAACUACUGGAAACGGUAGCUAAUACCGCAUAAUGUCGCAAGACCAAAGAGGGGGACCUUCGGGCCUCUUGCCAUCGGAUGUGCCCAGAUGGGAUUAGCUUGUUGGUGGGGUAACGGCUCACCAAGGCGACGAUCCCUAGCUGGUCUGAGAGGAUGACCAGCCACACUGGAACUGAGACACGGUCCAGACUCCUACGGGAGGCAGCAGUGGGGAAUAUUGCACAAUGGGCGCAAGCCUGAUGCAGCCAUGCCGCGUGUAUGAAGAAGGCCUUCGGGUUGUAAAGUACUUUCAGCGGGGAGGAAGGGAGUAAAGUUAAUACCUUUGCUCAUUGACGUUAUCCGCAGAAGAAGCACCGGCUAACUCCGUGCCAGCAGCCGCGGUAAUACGGAGGGUGCAAGCGUUAAUCGGAAUUACUGGGCGUAAAGCGCACGCAGGCGGUUUGUUAAGUCAGAUGUGAAAUCCCCGGGCUCAACCUGGGAACUGCAUCUGAUACUGGCAAGCUUGAGUCUCGUAGAGGGGGGUAGAAUUCCAGGUGUAGCGGUGAAAUGCGUAGAGAUCUGGAGGAAUACCGGUGGCGAAGGCGGCCCCCUGGACGAAGACUGACGCUCAGGUGCGAAAGCGUGGGGAGCAAACAGGAUUAGAUACCCUGGUAGUCCACGCCGUAAACGAUGUCGACUUGGAGGUUGUGCCCUUGAGGCGUGGCUUCCGGAGCUAACGCGUUAAGUCGACCGCCUGGGGAGUACGGCCGCAAGGUUAAAACUCAAAUGAAUUGACGGGGGCCCGCACAAGCGGUGGAGCAUGUGGUUUAAUUCGAUGCAACGCGAAGAACCUUACCUGGUCUUGACAUCCACGGAAGUUUUCAGAGAUGAGAAUGUGCCUUCGGGAACCGUGAGACAGGUGCUGCAUGGCUGUCGUCAGCUCGUGUUGUGAAAUGUUGGGUUAAGUCCCGCAACGAGCGCAACCCUUAUCCUUUGUUGCCAGCGGUCCGGCCGGGAACUCAAAGGAGACUGCCAGUGAUAAACUGGAGGAAGGUGGGGACGACGUCAAGUCAUCAUGGCCCUUACGACCAGGGCUACACACGUGCUACAAUGGCGCAUACAAAGAGAAGCGACCUCGCGAGAGCAAGCGGACCUCAUAAAGUGCGUCGUAGUCCGGAUUGGAGUCUGCAACUCGACUCCAUGAAGUCGGAAUCGCUAGUAAUCGUGGAUCAGAAUGCCACGGUGAAUACGUUCCCGGGCCUUGUACACACCGCCCGUCACACCAUGGGAGUGGGUUGCAAAAGAAGUAGGUAGCUUAACCUUCGGGAGGGCGCUUACCACUUUGUGAUUCAUGACUGGGGUGAAGUCGUAACAAGGUAACCGUAGGGGAACCUGCGGUUGGAUCACCUCCUUACCUUAAAGAAGC